CCAUACAAAAACUUAAUAUAACGUUCUGUCAUUAUUUUACAUUCACCAUUGUUGUAUUGCUAACGUGGCUAGCUUCGAGUUCGGAGUGAGAAUCCAAGUUAACUCACAGAAGUGAAACAUUUUAAAUUGUAUUGCCGAACAUCAACAUGCCUAAAAGAAAGAGUGCUGCCAAAGGCGAUGAGCCUGCAAGACGUUCCGCAAGAUUGUCUUCUAGACCUGCCGCCCCCAAGCCAGCUGCCAAACCCAAAAAAGCGGCAGCACCAAAAAAGGCAGCCAAAGGAAAGAAGGCAGCUGAGAAUGGUGACGCCAAGGCUGAGGCAAAGGUGGAGGCCACUGGAGAUGCCAAAUGAAGAUCGGUUGAAGUUUUGAUUAUUAUGUGUACUUGGUGACUGUACAGUUUAAAAAUAAGUAUUUUUUACCAAGUUUUAUAUUAAAAGAUAUCAUUUAUAGUUCAUUGUGGGCUUGCAUUUGAGGUAAUGAAGCUGUUCCAAGGUUGUUUUUUUAAUUAUUUUUGUCUCACUUUCAUAUCAAUUUUAUGCCAUGUUUAAAUGAAUACCGUCCAUAUCCUGUUAACUAAAUAGAAAAAUACCGUUCUAAUCCCAUUUUGUUUUUAACUGAUGAAUGUUAAAAAUAUUUUUCCUACAUUUUGUUUUAAAAUGUUUUUAAAACCCAAACAUUAUCGUAAGGCAGCUAAAGUGUGUUUCUAAAAUGUUUAAGAGGAAUAGGGGUUUUGCCACUAUCUCCAUUUAGUUUUUUACUGUACAAGUAAUGAAUUACUUACCAAAUGUUUUUAAAAUACUGUACCAACAUUAAGAUCUUGAGACAGAAAACACAGUUUGAAAGUAAUCACUAAAAAAUAAUUCGCUUGUAUUAGGUCAACACACAGAAUCAACCCAGAUACAAUUAAUGUGAACGUAAUCAUUUGUUAAAUCUGAUACAAACUCUUGUUUAUUUCAUUAAAUUAUGUUCUGUAAAAACA